UACAGAGGGUGCGAGCGUUAAUCGGAAUUACUGGGCGUAAAGCGUGCGUAGGUGGAUAUCUAAGUCGAAUGUGAAAGCCCCGGGCUUAACCUGGGAACUGCAUCCGAUACUGGGUAUCUAGAGUAUGGUAGAGGAAAGUGGAAUUCCCGGUGUAGCGGUGAAAUGCGUAGAUAUCGGGAGGAACAUCAAUGGCGAAGGCAACUUUCUGGACUAAUACUGACACUGAGGCACGAAAGCGUGGGGAGCAAACAGG
rnacentral:rRNA from 1 species